UACAUGAGAAAAAUCUACAUUUUUUGAUAGAAAAGAUGCCCCAUCCCUAAAUUUCAGCUGACAGAAUUCCCAAAAGAUUCUUUCACACCCCUCUGAUUUUUCUCACAAAGUCACACUCUUAUAUUCUAUAUAAAGGGCCAUAUAUCACUCACAUAGACAGACAUACAUACAGAUUACACACACCGAAAACCUCUCUCUGAAAUUCAGCUUCUUUUCUCUCACCUUUAGACUGAUUUGGAGGCAAAAUUUUACCUUAGAAAUUUUCUUUUACAAGUUUCAGUUUCUUUCAUAUACUGAUUGAAAAAAAUGGUUUCAUAUGUUUGGUUUCUUUUCUGGAUCAACCUUGGUUUUCUGAAGCUGAUUUAGAAUUGAGGUCAAGUUUCAUUCUGGGAUUUCCUUAUUGAUCUUCUGUUAUCUUGCUGUUGUUUUCUUUGAGUUUGCUGAGCUUAUUCUUCAGUUUUCAGCCCUUUUGGCUUUUGUUGAUUGUCUUUCACAAAUAGGCUAUGUUGACUCGUUGGGUUCAAAGUCAUUAUUAAUUCGAGUGUCAAUAUGAGCUUAAGAAGUUCAGAGGCGUUGGUGUGAUGCUUUUACUUUUACACAACCUGAAAUGAGGAGUUUUACUUUGUUGAUCCUACUGUGCUCCUAAAUCAUUUCAAUUACAUGUUAUCUUUUAGUUUAGUCAUGAUUCAAGUCUAAUGUCAUAGAUAGGUCAUUGAUCUAGUUUAAAGGUUAUUUCAUGCUCAAAACAUCUCCAUGUUUGAUUGAUUGUUCCCUGUAUAAUGACUUAUUUCCUGAAAUAGGUGGUUCGUAUUUGAAAUGGUGUUUGCGGGGCUGAUUAGUGAAAUCAGUUUGUGUUGAUCUCUAUGAUUUUUUAAAUGGAAUUGUUCUUUAAUUAAACUCAGGAAUUACUCAACAGUUAGACUAUUCUUUUUUGCAUUUGUGUUUUUAGCUACUGCUGGUGGCCAAGUGAUUUAUGAGAGUAGCCUAGUGGAUAUCUCAGUAAAUCAAGAUCAAUAAGGGAAUUGAAAAGUCACUAGCCUAAAUCAUUUUUUUCUUUCUGGAUAUUAUUUGAAGAAGGUUGUUAGGAGUAGUGAUGUACAAAUCUGCUUCCUUAUUUAUAAAAGGAAUGGAACUUGUUGGGUUGUAGUUAGUUAAUGACUUGUAAUGAUUUAAUUUUUAUACCUCUUUUGUAUUGAUAAGUUAAUUCAAUAGUUGAUCAUAUUGUAUUAUUCUAAACCUGUUGUAGUUAAAUACAUGCAUAUUUGAUUCUAUA